GGAAGGACAUGGGGGUCUCAGGGGACACAGGAUGGCCAAAGAGAAAGCCUUGCUGUGGGAGCACCACCCCCUAGGAGCUCUGUGGGCUCCAGGAGAGGCGGGGAAGUGGGGAAGGGGUUGGGAGUCUGAAAACGGCCCCUCUGGGGUGGAACCAGAAGGCUCUGUGGGCAAGCUCAAGGCUCAGGGCUGACCCUGUGCCUCCUCCCGCCCAUCUGGGCUGCCUGUGCCCUGCAGGUCCCGGCUGAGACGCUGCCUCCCAAGAAGCCUCCUGGUGCGGGCUCCCCGCUGAGCUAGGCUUCCUCUGAAAAAGAUGAUGACAAAAAUGGUCAGAACCCAAAUAUGCUCUUCCCGAGGGCUCUACUCCAGGCAGACCCACAGGGCCCGGCUGUGGUAAAGAGGUCGGCGACCUCCGUUUCUCUAAUGUACGCUGGUGAGGCUCGCCUGGGCCACACACGUGAGGGAGCAGCUCGGGAGCACGUGAGUGGUGCUUCCCGACGUCCGUCAGCCGCCCGUGAGAGCCCGCCUCCGGGGACAGCCUUGCAGCAACGGUUUGGUGCAGUCAUUUGAAAAGGCAGCAGAGGUCCAGCGACAGGGCACCAGGUCCAUCAACAGUGAAACCACGCUGGGGACACGUAAGGCUGCUGCAACCGCAACCACCCUAGGCUCAACGACGUCACAGGGAGGCUGAUGGGAGAGGCUCGGACACCACGGAGUGCAGCCUCGCGCGCAGCCCACCUGCAGCUCCAGGCAGUGCCUCUGCUUCUCCGAGAUCUGGCUCUUCAGGGCCUGCUUCUCCUUCAACAGCUUCUCCAGCGACAGCGUGGCCCAGUCCAGCUGCAGCUCCUCGCAGCGAGCCUUGAG
rnacentral:lncRNA from 1 species